rnacentral:rRNA from 1 species
GAUGAACGCUGGCGGCGUGCUUAACACAUGCAAGUCGAACGGAAAGGCCGAAGCUUGCUUCGGUACUCGAGUGGCGAACGGGUGAGUAACACGUGGGUGAUCUGCCCUGUACUUCGGGAUAAGCUUGGGAAACUGGGUCUAAUACCGGAUAUGACGAUCUCUUGGAUGGGGUUGUGGAAAGCUUUUGCGGUAUGGGAUGAGCUCGCGGCCUAUCAGCUUGUUGGUGGGGUAAUGGCCUACCAAGGGGUCGACGGGUAGCCGGCCUGAGAGGGUGUACGGCCACAUUGGGACUGAGAUACGGCCCAGACUCCUACGGGGGGCAGCAGUGGGGAAUAUUGCACAAUGUGCGCAGGCCUGAUGCAGCGACGCCGCGUGGGGGAUGACGGCCUUCGGGUUGUAAACUCCUUUCGCAAUCGACGAAGCCUUUUGGUGACGGUAGGUUGAGAAGAAGCACCGGCUAACUACGUG